rnacentral:rRNA from 1 species
UACGUAGGGGGCGAGCGUUGUCCGGAAUUACUGGGCGUAAAGGGUUCGCAGGCGGCAUGACAAGUCUGAUGUAAAAGGCGAAAGCUCAACUUUCGUAAGCAUCGGAAACUGUCAAGCUUGAGUGAAGGAGAGGCAAGUGGAAUUCCUAGUGUAGCGGUGGAAUGCGUAGAUAUUAGGAGGAAUACCGGUGGCGAAGGCGACUUGCUGGACUUCAACUGACGCUGAGGAACGAAAGCGUGGGUAGCAAACAGG